AUCAAGGCAUCCUUUUAAACAAAAUAUCCAAAAUGCAGUUGGAUUGGAAGAAAAUCCUUUUAAACAACAAAGUUCUGAUAAAAUAACAAGAAACAAAUCAGAUAUUUUUAUACUGGCAGGGACACAUUAAUAUAUCAUAGAACGUAGCAUGUCAUACAUGAUAUAUUCUUGAGAACUAGAGAGAGCAUCUCAUAAUUCAUACUUGCAAUUAUGUUACAGAUGUACCUGCUAUAUGAUUUCUUCACUUAAUUACUUAUUUUUAUGUCAGGAUAAGUAAAACAAAUAUAUCAGCAUGUUGGAAGAUGAUGCAAAACCUCCUGUCCCCUCCGGACCAUAGAUCAUCAAGCCUUUUGAAACACUGUUAACAUGCUGCAAACUG
rnacentral:misc_RNA from 1 species